UACGUAGGGUGCAAGCGUUUGUCCGGAAUUACUGGGCGUAAAGAGCUCGUAGGCGGUUUGUUGCGUCGGCUGUGAAAUCCCGAGGCUCAACCUCGGGUCUGCAGUCGAUACGAGCAAACUAGAGUGUUGCAGGGGAGACUGGAAUUCCUGGUGUAGCGGUGAAAUGCGCAGAUAUCAGGAAGAACACCAAUGGCGAAAAGCAGCUCUCUGGGACGGUACUGACGCUGAGACGCGAAAAGCGUGGGGGAGCGAACAGG
rnacentral:rRNA from 1 species